AUUGAACGCUGGCGGCAUGCCUUACACAUGCAAGUCGAACGGUAACAGGUCUUCGGAUGCUGACGAGUGGCGAACGGGUGAGUAAUAUAUCGGAACGUGCCCAGUAGUGGGGGAUAGCCCGGCGAAAGCCGGAUUAAUACCGCAUACGACCUACGGGUGAAAGGGGGGGAUCGCAAGACCUCUCGCUAUUGGAGCGGCCGAUAUCAGAUUAGGUAGUUGGUGGGGUAAAGGCCUACCAAGCCUGCGAUCUGUAGUUGGUCUGAGAGGACGACCAGCCACACUGGGACUGAGACACGGCCCAGACUCCUACGGGAGGCAGCAGUGGGGAAUUUUGGACAAUGGGCGCAAGCCUGAUCCAGCAAUGCCGCGUGCAGGAAGAAGGCCUUCGGGUUGUAAACUGCUUUUGUCAGGGAAGAAAUCCUCUAGGCUAAUACCUUGGGGGGAUGACGGUACCUGAAGAAUAAGCACCGGCUAACUACGUGCCAGCAGCCGCGGUAAAAC
rnacentral:rRNA from 1 species